UCAAUUAAUAAAAUUUUUGAUUCCUUUCAAAUUUCAAUAAAACAUUCCUUUGAUCAAAAUUCCCAAACACAGUCGCUUCCCUACUAGUCUCGUCUGUGAUACCACUUACCAUUCAAAAUAAACUGAUCUUUUUUAAUACAAUUUUAAUUUUUAGAUGGUCUCGAGCUGUAUCUACCUGAAUUGCCAGUCAUGACGAUUGACGACACUAUUCCAAAACCGAUACCGAAGAUCUUGUGAACACGCCUUAUUUGGAGAAAGCUCGUCUUAUUAGGUUGCUUAUUUAUCAACCCAAAGCACAGAGGUAUGCUUGCACUUUUACUGAAUGGUAAUCUUAUUUUGGCAGAUAUGUACUUAUACGAUCUCGAGUCAGCAAAGCCAGCCGAAAAUCCGGAAUACAUUAUACAGAGGUUCUCCAAAUGGACGUGGUUUGCUUCACAGCUCCUGUGGCUGCAACUUCAUAGAGACGAGGCGACUUCUAAAACAAUACAAAUAUGUUGUUAUAUGCUACAUUAUAAAUUGUGAUGCAAGAUUUAGUAGUGAAUAAAUUUACUCACCUUCAAAA